rnacentral:rRNA from 1 species
AUUGAACGCUGGCGGCAGGCCUAACACAUGCAAGUCGAGCGGAGCGGCGGACGGGUGAGUAAUGCCUAGGAAUCUGCCUGGUAGUGGGGGAUAACGUCCGGAAACGGGCGCUAAUACCGCAUACUAUCAGAUGAGCCUAGGUCGGAUUAGCUAGUUGGUGGGGUAAAGGCCUACCAAGGCGACGAUCCGUAACUGGUCUGAGAGGAUGAUCAGUCACACUGGAACUUAGACACGUUCCAGGUUACUAAGGGAGGAAGCAGUGGGGAAUAUUGGACAAUGGGCGAAAGCUGGACCAAGCCAUGCCUCUUGUGUGAAGAAGGUCUUCGGAUUGUAAAGCACUUUAAGUUGGGAGGCGUUACCAACAGAAUAAGCACCGGCUAACUCCGUGCCAGCCGCCGCGGUAAUAC